rnacentral:rRNA from 1 species
CAGUAGCCGCGGGAAUACGUAGGGUGCAAGCGUUAAUCGGAAUUACUGGGCGUAAAGCGUGCGCAGGCGGUUAUAUAAGACAGAUGUGAAAUCCCCGGGCUCAACCUGGGAACUGCAUUUGUGACUGUAUAGCUAGAGUACGGCAGAGGGGGAUGGAAUUCCGCGUGUAGCAGUGAAAUGCGUAGAUAUGCGGAGGAACACCGAUGGCGAAGGCAAUCCCCUGGGCCUGUACUGACGCUCAUGCACGAAAGCGUGGGGAGCAAACAGGAUUAGAUACCCCUGUAGUCCCUGUCUCUUAUAU